UUAUCGGGAAGGAACCUUACCUGGUCUUGACAUCCUCGGAACCCUGCAGCGAUGCGGGGGUGCCUUCGGGAGCCGAGAGACAGGUGCUGCAUGGCUGUUGUCAGCUCGUGUCGUGAGAUGUUGGGUUAAGUCCCGCAACGAGCGCAACCCUUGUCCGUAGUUGCCAUCAUUUAGUUGGGAACUCUACGGAGACCGCCGGUGACAAACCGGAGGAAGGUGGGGAUGACGUCAAGUCAUCAUGGCCCUUAUGACCAGGGCUACACACGUGCUACAAUGGCCGGUACAAAGGGCUGCCAACCCGCGAGGGGGAGCCAAUCCCAGAAAGCCGGUCGUAGUCCGGAUCGGAGUCUGCAACUCGACUCCGUGAAGUCGGAAUCGCUAGUAAUCGCGAAUCCGCAG
rnacentral:rRNA from 1 species